CCACCUCGGCCUCCCAAAGGACUGGGAUUACAGGUACGAGUCACUGCGCCCAGGCUUUUCUCCCUUUUGACUCAUUUUGAGGCCCCCGUCGUAGGGUACACGCCCUGGGAAUCGGGGGUCUUCCAGUAUAGGGAACCACCGAGAUGCGGGCCCUCCGAAGUCCUAGAGAGGGCGCCUCGGCCGCCGGCACCCGCCACACUUCCGGCCUUUGUGGGCCGCAGCGACGGCGGUCUGCGGCUGUCGGUUCUGUUUGUUGCUGUCACUGCUGUUUGUUCUUGCCAGCGGCUAGGUGUGUAGUUGCUUGGGGCUCCUAGCACGAGGCCUCUGUCCCCAGGCACGCAGCGCCAGUCUCCGGCUGUUGCGCCCUGGGCGCCGCCUCUCUCCGGCCCCCCUUUGUUUCCUGAGCCAGCUGGGAAGACUAAAAGGGGUCUGGCUGUUUUGCCCAGAAUGGAGUGCAGUGGCGUGAUGGUCUCGGCUGACAGCAGCCUCGACCUCCUGGGCUCAAGCCUUGGCCUCCCAAAGUGCUGGGAUUACAGCCACCAUCCUGUGAGGAAGCCCAGAGCACAUGAAGAGACCACCUGCACAUGUUCAGAUCCACUGCCCCAGCUAAGAUCUCCGCUGACAGCCAGACCAAUCACCAAUCUUAGGAGCUGGCGAGCCUUCAGAUGGUCCAACCUUUGAGGCCCCCCAGAGGAGCCAGGUGGAGCAUAGAUGAGCCAUCCAUGUGGAUCCCUCCACCAAAUGGAAGAUUUAGGAGCAAAAUAAACAAUGUUGUCAUUGCUUUC
rnacentral:lncRNA from 1 species